UAAGGAAUAUUGGGCAAUGGGCGCAAGCCUGACCCAGCCAUGCCGCGUGCAGGAUGACUGCCCUAUGGGUUGUAAACUGCUUUUAUACGGGAAAAAACCCUCGAAUGUGUUCGGGGCUGAUGGUACCGUAAGAAUAAGGAUCGGCUAACUCCGUGCCAGCAGCCGCGGUAAUACGGAGGAUCCAAGCGUUAUCCGGAUUUAUUGGGUUUAAAGGGUGCGUAGGCGGAAUGGUAAGUCAGCGGUGAAAUCUCCCAGCUUAACUGGGAAACUGCCGUUGAUACUGCCAAUCUUGAGUACGGUUGAAGUGGGCGGAAUGUAGCAUGUAGCGGUGAAAUGCUUAGAUAUGCUACAGAACACCGAUUGCGAAGGCAGCUCACUAAGCCGCAACUGACGCUGAGGCACGAAAGCGUAGGGAGCAAACAG
rnacentral:rRNA from 1 species